GCUAAACGCGAAGAACCUUACCAGGCCUUGACAUGCAGAGAACUUUCCAGAGAUGGAUUGGUGCCUUCGGGAACUCUGACACAGGUGCUGCAUGGCUGUCGUCAGCUCGUGUUGUGAGAUGUUGGGUUAAGUCCCGUAACGAGCGCAACCCUUGUCCUUAGUUACCAGCAAGUAAAGUUGGGAACUCUAAGGAGACCGCCGGUGACAAACCGGAGGAAGGUGGGGAUGACGUCAAGUCAUCAUGGCCUUUAUGGCCAGGGCUACACACGUGCUACAAUGGCAGGUACAGAGGGAAGCCAACCGGCGACGGGGAGCUAAUCCCAGAAAGCCUGUCUUAGUCCGGAUUGCAGUCUGCAACUCGACUGCAUGAAGCUGGAAUCGCUAGUAAUCGCAGAUCAGCAUUGCUGCGGUGAAUACGUUCCCGGGUCUUGUACACACCG
rnacentral:rRNA from 1 species